rnacentral:rRNA from 1 species
CAGCCGUAAACAAUGUGCGUUAGGUGUGUCGGUAACCACGUGUUACUGAUGCGCCGAAGAGAAAUCGUGAAACGCACCACCUGGGAAGUACGGUCGCAAGGCUGAAACUUAAAGGAAUUGGCGGGGGAGCACCACAACAGGUGGAGCCUGCGGUUUAAUUGGAUUCAACGCCGGAAAUCUCACCGGAUAGGACAGACAUAUGAUAGUCGGGCUGAAGACUCUACUUGAUGAUCUGAGAGGAGGUGCAUGGCGUCAGUGACU